rnacentral:rRNA from 1 species
UACGGAGGGGGCUAGCGUUGUUCGGAAUUACUGGGCGUAAAGCGCACGUAGGCGGUUUUGUAAGUUAGAGGUGAAAUCCCAGGGCUCAACCCUGGAACUGCCUCUCAUACUGGGUAUCUCGAGUUCGAGAGAGGAGAGUGGAAUUGCGAGUGUAGAGGUGAAAUUCGUAGAUAUUCGCAGGAACACCAGUGGCGAAGGCGGCUCACUGGCUCGAUACUGACGCUGAGGUGCGAAAGCGUGGGGAGCAAACAGG